GACGAACGCUGGCGGCGUGCUUAACACAUGCAAGUCGAACGGAAAGGCCCUGCUUUUGUGGGGUGCUCGAGUGGCGAACGGGUGAGUAACACGUGAGUAACCUGCCCUUGACUUUGGGAUAACUUCAGGAAACUGGGGCUAAUACCGGAUAGGAGCUCCUGCUGCAUGGUGGGGGUUGGAAAGUUUCGGCGGUUGGGGAUGGACUCGCGGCUUAUCAGCUUGUUGGUGGGGUAGUGGCUUACCAAGGCUUUGACGGGUAGCCGGCCUGAGAGGGUGACCGGACACAUUGGGACUGAGAUUAGGCCCAGACUCAUACGGGAGGCAGCAGUGGGGAAUAUUGCACAAUGGGCGGAAGCCUUAUGCAGCAACGCCGCGUGCGGGAUGACGGCCUUCGGGUUGUAAACCGCUUUCGCCUGUGACGAAGCGUGAGUGACGGUAAUGGGUAAAGAAGCACCGGCUAACUACGUG
rnacentral:rRNA from 1 species